rnacentral:rRNA from 1 species
UUCGGGAUGCCGGCGAGUGGCGAACGGGUGCGUAACGCGUGGAAACCUGCCCUGAGAUGGGGGACAACAGCUGGAAACGGCUGCUAAUACCGCAUAAGCCCUACGGGGGAAAGACGCAAGUCGUCUUGGGAGGGGUCCGCGUCGGAUUAGCUUGUUGGCGAGGUAAUGGCUCACCAAGGCGAUGAUCCGUAGCUGGUCUGAGAGGACGAUCAGCCACACUGGGACUGAGACACGGCCCAGACUCCUACGGGAGGCAGCAGUGGGGAAUACUGCGCAAUGGGGAAACCCUGACGCAGCGAUACCGCGUGGGUGAAGAAGGUCUUCGGAUUGUAAAGCCCUUUCAGUGGGAAAGAUGAUGACGGUACCCACAGAAGAAGCUCCGGCUAACUCCGUGCCAGCAGCCGCGGUAAUACGGAGGGGGCGAGCGUUGUUCGGAAUUACUGGGCGUAAAGGGCGCGUAGGCUGUUUUGCAAG